rnacentral:lncRNA from 1 species
GGGACUCUCACCCAGGGAGUACGAGGUCAUGGUGCGGGACUUCCUCAAUACGGAAUUGUGUUUUGCGACUCGAGAGCAGAUUUCCUCCCUCUAUCAACUCCUUUUUUAUGGUCGGGAGGAUCCACAAUUCUUCAUUGAUCCACAAGACCUGGAUUCCAUACUGAGGGUGCACCUUGAACCCUUAGAAUUCAAUCACCCUGCUCUAUGCCAAGUCUUAGAAAGUCUAUGUGUCGAGAGGCAUGAUUCCCCUUUUUAUCAAGAUCUAAAAGGAACUCAACUCUCAUCCAGGGAGUACGAUGUCAUGGUGCGGGACUUCCUCAAUAUGGAAUUGUGUUUUGCGAUUCUAGAGUAGAUUUCCUCCCUCUAUCAACUCCUUUUUUAUGGUCGGGAGGAUCCACAAUUCUUCAUUGAUCCACAAGACCUGGAUUCCAUACUGAGGGUGCACCUUGAACCCUUAGAAUUCAAUCACCCUGCUCUAUGCCAAGUCUUAGAAAGUCUAUGUGUCGAGAGGCAUGAUUCCCCUUUUUAUCAAGAUCUAAAAGGAACUCAAGCGCAUCAUUUUCGUGGCUUUAGAAACUUAAAGCACCAAGCGCGAUUGGAAAUGCAACAUCGCCUAGAGUUACGAGAGUUAUGGAAAUCUCUUGAGAGAAGGAACGCUUUUCUAAGCGAGGAAAACGCCUCUCUAAGAGAAAAACUUUUAAUUCUCGACAGGGAAGCCCCAAAGACCUGGAUUUCAUACUGAGGGUGCACCUUGAACCCUUAUAAUUCAAUCACCCUACUCUAUGCCAAGUCUUACAAAGUCUAUGUGUCGAGAGGCAUGAUUCCCCUUUUUAUCAAGAUCUAAAAGGAACUCAAGCGCAUCAUUUUCGUGGCUUUAUAAACUUAAAGUGCCAAGCGCGAUUGGAAAUGCAACAUCGCCUAGAGUUACGAGAGUUAUGGAAAUCUCUUGAGAGAAGGAACGCUUUUCUAAGCGAGGAAAAAGCCUCUCUAAGAGAAAAACUUUUAAUUCUCGACAAGGAAGCCCCAUAAAAUUCUGCUUUGUUGUGUUGCUGUCGUAAAAUUGCGUUCUUCGUUCCGUCGUCGAUCUUCCAAUUUCUUCCGGUAUGCCGCUCCGCCAGCAAGGAGCGAAAGAACCAAGUUUUCUGUGGUGAUGUCAGAAUUUGCACCUAUUUGUAUCUAUUUAGUGAUCAGUCCGCUAGUUUCUUUGCUCCCACUCGGUCUUCCUUUUCUAUUUUCUUCCAAUAGUUCGACCUAUCCAGAAAAAUUGUCGGCCUACGAAUGUGGUUUCGAUCCUUCCGGUGAUGCCAGAAGU